rnacentral:rRNA from 1 species
CCUWCGGGAGGCAGCAGUAGGGAAUCUUCGGCAAUGGACGAAAGUCUGACCGAGCAACGCCGCGUGAGUGAAGAAGGUUUUCGGAUCGUAAAACUCUGUUGUUAGAGAAGAACAAGGAUGAGAGUAACUGUUCAUCCCUUGACGGUAUYUAACCAGAAAGCCACGGCUAACUWCGUGCCAGCAGCCGCGGUAAUACGUAGGUGGCAAGCGUUGUCCGGAUUUAUUGGGCGUAAAGCGAGCGCAGGCGGUUUCUUAAGUCUGAUGUGAAAGCCCCCGGCUCAWCCGGGGAGGGUCAUUGGAAACUGGGAGACUUGAGUGCAGAAGAGGAGAGUGGAAUUCCAUGUGUAGCGGUGAAAUGCGUAGAKAUAUGGAGGAACRCCAGUGGSG